AGUACUCAUUUUGCAGAAGAAUGCUUCCUUGUUGCUGCCUGCUCGCGCGUGUCUGUCUGGCCCGUGGAGGCUAAUCAGUGCGGAUGGAAAUCAGCUGGAGCACUGUGCUUCUCCUUGGGGCUACACUGGGCUCUGGGAAAGUUGACGCUCUUACAGUGAAAUUUCCAUCACCAUUUUGCAAUAUAUUCCCCAUUUUUGGAGGAUAACACGUUUCCUAUUCAUGUUGCCCCUGCUCUCAGGAGAUGUGAAGCUAAAUCCUGGACCAGAAGCUCCUGGAUAUACCGCAGAACUUCGGUGCUACUUUGUGGUCGAGUGUGUCCCCUGGGACUCCUUCUUCGGUGCUGUUGGUGCUCGCUCCACCAUCGCCGCUGUCCGUUUCUCCAAGCUGGGGGCGUGCCGACCGUCAUCUACUAGUGCAUUUGUGUACUUAUAUGAGACGACCACAAGAGGGAGCCAGAGUCUACAUGAUGGGUCACACAGAUAAGUGCUUUUUGUGGUACUUUGAUGAAAAAUGUAACGAGUCAUAGGGUAAACAGAUCCUGCCCACGUAUCCCUCCUCAGCGUUCCAGCUGGAGACCAGUCUGACCACCUCCUCCUCGGGCGCUAGAGAACGAUGCUGAGCACAGCGCUUCACCUCGCUGCGCUCCUUCAACAGAGGAACCUUCUCCUCGCACAGGAAGUACUCUGACGGGUUUCCUGCAGAUGCUACAACCUGUGCAGCUGUUUGGCGGUCGUCUGUUCUGUAACACAGAACACAGUGAAGAGCUCAGGACCAGGAGCUCCGUACACCGUCACCCUGUGCUGCUGCGACGCACGUUUCUCCUCUGAACUGAACAGCUGUGUGGGGAGCAGGAGGAGAGGUGCUCUUGCAGACGGCUUGGAUCCAUCCUUUCUCACAGUUACAUCAGUUGUUGUCUGAGACUCCUACCUGGCUUGAGGGCCUUCAGAGGCAGAGUCCUCUGAGCGGUAGUCUGGGAACUGUUGUUCUCC